rnacentral:rRNA from 1 species
UACGAAGGGGGCUAGCGUUGCUCGGAAUUACUGGGCGUAAAGGGCGCGUAGGCGGACAGUUUAGUCAGAGGUAAAAGCCCAGGGCUCAACCUUGGAACUGCCUUUGAUACUGACUGUCUUGAGUUCGGGAGAGGUGAGUGGAAUGCCGAGUGUAGUGGUGAAAUUCGUAGAUAUUCGGCGGAACACCAGUGGCGAAGGCGACUCACUGGCCCGAUACUGACGCUGAGGCGCGAAAGCGUGGGGAGCAAACAGG